rnacentral:lncRNA from 13 species
CCCCCAGAUGCUGACAGUGGGAUACAAAGAAAUAAAGUUUUUUAGAGUCAAACAAAAAUGGAUGUGCAUUAUGGCUUUGUACCCUGCUAGCUGUGUGUCCUGGGACAAGUUGCUUCCCAUCUCUGGGCCUGCAUCUCAGGACAGCUUCAAGAGGAAGCCAGCCUCAAGGAUUACCCUACAGCCAAUUCUGUGGCUAAGGCCUUAGCCUUUAUGUAAUGGGAACAAAAUUGGCUCUCUGACUUCUAUUGUUCUAUGAUUCCGUGACUCAUAGAAUUCUGAACGGGACCCAGAGCUUGGAUACUGAGGGACCACCAACCAUGAUAGAGACCAUCUGUAUCAGAUAAGAUCCUUUUAUUAAUAGGCAACAGAAAUAUCAACUAGAACUGGCUUUAAAAGUACAGAAAUUGGCCAGGCAUGGUGGUGCAAGCCUGUAAUCCCAGCUACUUGGGAGGCUGAGGCAGGAGAAUCUCUUGAAGCCAGGAGGCAGAGGUUGUGGUGAGCCAAGAUGGUGCCAUUGCACUCCAGCCUGGGCAACAAGAGCAGAACUCCAUACACUGAAAGUAUACUUGAACAGUUCCAACUGUACAUACUGUAUGAAGCUUGUCCUCUGACUAGGUUUCUUAUUUCUAUGUGGAAUUGCAUAUCUUGCAGCAUUCCAUAAGGAAGAUGAGGUUCCAGUAAGAUGACUUGCUCAAGGUCACAAGGAAGAAAAAGUGUUCCCUGAUGUUCAUGACCGGAUUCCCCUUGUAUCCCAUUGGCCACAAUGGAAUCAUGCAACCAGAUCCCAGCUGCAAGAGAGGUUGAGAAGGCUUCCUGGGAUCAUUGCCUGAAUAAACUGCCUGCAUUUAAGAAGUUGACUCAGAGUCUGCUUCUGAGACACCAACUGGAGACAGCAGAGGUUCCAGGAGGACAUACCUUUCUUUUGCUGCAGUUGAGGGUGUGGUUACCAUUUAGCCCACUACAGAGAAUUUCCCAGAAGGCCUAAUUAUCUGGGCUUGGUGGGCCCUUCUGUUAGUUUAUGCUGCUGCUGGAAAGAUUGCACCCCAGAUUCUUGGAAUAGCAGGUUGCUGCUUACUCACGGAAACUUGCACAGCUGCUUUUGGGAACAAGGAGACUCAUCCAACAAAGUUGGGUUCUCAGUGUGUAGAACCCAACUCCAGACUUCUGCACACUUGCCUUAGAACCUGAACUCCUGACAAGGAAAGCACCAGAGCAGAACACGGUGAUCAGAAGGGGUUGUUAUUUUGUCCUAAGAUAAUCAUGCACACUGAAGUUGAAGUUUUUUGAGCAUUGGCCAGCUUUUGAUGGCUGUGUCUGGAAAUCAUCCCGUUGGGAAACACAUUUUGAGCAGACGUGACCUUGCUUCAAUGUAAAGUAAGUUCUGUGACCAUUUGUAUGAG